GUGAGGAAUCUUGCGCAAUGGGGGAAACCCUGACGCAGCAACGCCGCGUGAGUGAGGAAGGUCUUCGGAUCGUAAAGCUCUGUCGGUUGGGAAGAAACGCAUGGAGGCCAAUACCCUUCAUGCCUGACGGUACCAACAGAGGAAGCACCGGCUAACUCCGUGCCAGCAGCCGCGGUAAUACGGGGGGUGCAAGCGUUGUUCGGAAUCAUUGGGCGUAAAGAGCGUGUAGGCGGUUGGAUAAGUCAGAUGUGAAAGCCCUGGGCUCAACCCAGGAAGUGCAUUUGAAACUGUUCUACUUGAGUACGGGAGAGGAAAGUGGAAUUCCUGGUGUAGAGGUGAAAUUCGUAGAUAUCAGGAGGAACACCGGUGGCGAAGGCGACUUUCUGGCCCGAUACUGACGCUGAGACGCGAGAGCGUGGGGAGCAAACAGGAUUAGAUACCCCGGUAGUCC
rnacentral:rRNA from 1 species